GCCAGAGCCAUAUCUCCCUGCAGUCCUCGCCUGGUUUCCCACUGAAGCUAACCAGGGUUGAGCCUGGCCAGUACCAGGAGGGGAGACCUCCUGGGGAAAACUAAGGUUGCUGCUGGAA
rnacentral:rRNA from 1 species